GACGAACGCUGGCGGCGUGCUUAACACAUGCAAGUCGAACGGUAAGGCCCUUCGGGGUACACGAGUGGCGAACGGGUGAGUAACACGUGGGUGAUCUGCCCUGCACUUCGGGAUAAGCCUGGGACACUGGGUCUAAUACCGGAUAGGACCACUGCCUUCAUGGGUGGUGGUGGAAAGCUUUUGCGGUGUGGGAUGGGCCCGCGGCCUAUCAGCUUGUGGGUGGGGUGAUGGCCUACCAAGGCGACGACGGGUAGCCGGCCUGAGAGGGUGACCGGCCACACUGGGACUGAGAUACGGCCCAGACUCCUACGGGAGGCAGCAGUGGGGAAUAUUGCACAAUGGGCGCAAGCCUGAUGCAGCGACGCCGCGUGAGGGAUGACGGCCUUCGGGUUGUAAACCUCUUUCAGCACCGACGAAGCGCAAGUGACGGUAGGUGCAGAAGAAGGACCGGCCAACUACGUACCAGCAGCCGCGGUAA
rnacentral:rRNA from 1 species